UCUCUAGAAGAUGUAGC
rnacentral:sRNA from 1 species